GGCAGUUCUCAUGUGACGCACCUUAGAAUUAGGCUCCCUCCUCUUUGUUCCGGGUGCAUCACCCGAGAACUGUA
rfam:Myotis lucifugus cont2.14691, whole genome shotgun sequence.